GGCUGGGUAGCUCAGUGGUAGAGCAAGGCCCUCAUAAAGCCGAGAUCGACGGUUCGAUCCCGUCCCCAGCCA
rnacentral:tRNA from 1 species